GACAGAGGGGGCAAGCGUUGCUCGGAAUUACUGGGCGUAAAGGGCGCGUAGGCGGGCUGGCAAGUCGGUCGUGAAAUCCCUCGGCUCAACUGAGGUACGUCGAUCGAUACUGCCGUUCUUGAGGGUUGCAGAGGAGACUGGAAUUCCCGGUGUAGCGGUGAAAUGUGUAGAGAUCGGGAGGAACACCGGUGGCGAAGGCGGGUCUCUGGGCAACUCCUGACGCUGAGGCGCGAAAGCGUGGGGAGCAAACGGG
rnacentral:rRNA from 1 species